GAUGAACGCUAGCUACAGGCUUAACACAUGCAAGUCGAGGGGAAACGGCAUCGAAAGCUUGCUUUUGAUGGGCGUCGACCGGCGCACGGGUGAGUAACGCGUAUCCAACCUGCCCAUCACUUGGGAAUAACCUUGCGAAAGUAAGACUAAUGCCCAAUGACAUCCCACGAAGGCAUCCGAAUGGGAUUAAAGAUUUAUCGGUGAUGGAUGGGGAUGCGUCUGAUUAGCUUGUUGGCGGGGUGACGGCCCACCAAGGCAACGAUCAGUAGGGGUUCUGAGAGGAAGGUCCCCCACAUUGGAACUGAGACACGGUCCAAACUCCUACGGGAGGCAGCAGUGAGGAAUAUUGGUCAAUGGGCGAGAGCCUGAACCAGCCAAGUAGCGUGCAGGAGGACGGCCCUAUGGGUUGUAAACUGCUUUUAGAAGGGAAUAAAGUGGGUCACGUGUGACUUUUUGCAUGUACCUUAUGAAUAAGGACCGGCUAAUUCCGUG
rnacentral:rRNA from 1 species